AUUGAACGCUGGCGGCAGGCCUAACACAUGCGAGUCGAGCGGAUGAAGGGUGCUUGCUCCUGGUUUCAGCGGCGGACGGGUGAGUAAUGCCUAGGAAUCUGCCUGGUAGUGGGGGAUAACGUCCGGAAACGGGCGCUAAUACCGCAUACGUCCUGAGGGUGAAAGUGGGGGAUCUUCGGAACUCAUGCUAUCAGAUGAGCCUAGGUCGGAUUAGCUAGUUGGUGGGGUAAAGGCCUACCAAGGCGACGAUCCGUAACUGGUCUGAGAGGAUGAUCAGUCACACUGGAACUGAGACAGGGACCAGACGCCUACGGGAGGCAGCAGUGUGGAAUAUUGGACAAUGGGCGAAAGCCUGGUCCAGCCAUGCCGCGUGUGUGACGAAGAUCUUGGGAUUGUAAAGCACUCUAAGUUGUGAGGAACGGCAGUAAGUUAAUACCUUGCUGUUUUGACGUUACCAGCAGAAUAAGCACCGGCUAACUUCGUG
rnacentral:rRNA from 1 species